AGAUCGGCGCAGCUACACAUGCAAGUCGAACGGAUCCUUCGGGAUUAGUGGCAGACGGGUGAGUAACGCGUGGGAAGCUACCUUGUGGUAGGGAACAACAGUUGGAAACGACUGCUAAUACCCUAUGAGCCCUAUGGGGGAAAGAUUUAUCGCCAUGAGAUGUGCCCGCGUUAGAUUAGCUAGUUGGUAAGGUAAUGGCUUACCAAGGCGACGAUCUAUAGCUGGUCUGAGAGGAUGAUCAGCCACACUGGGACUGAGACACGGCCCAGACUCCUACGGGAGGCAGCAGUGGGGAAUAUUGGACAAUGGGGGCAACCCUGAUCCAGCCAUGCCGCGUGAGUGAUGACGGCCUUAGGGUUGUAAAGCUCUUUCAGCAGUGAAGAUAAUGACAUUAACUGCAGAAGAAGCCCCGGCUAACUUCGUGCCAGCAGCCGCGGUAAUACGAAGGGGGCUAGCGUUGUUCGGAAUCACUGGGCGUAAAGCGUACGUAGGCGGACUGAUCAGUCAGGGGUGAAAUCCCGGGGCUCAACCCCGGAACUGCCUUUGAUACUGUCAGUCUUGAGAUCGAGAGAGGUGAGUGGAACUCCGAGUGUAGAGGUGAAAUUCGUAGAUAUUCGGAAGAACACCAGUGGCGAAGGCGGCUCACUGGCUCGAUACUGACGCUGAGGUACGAAAGCGUGGAGAGCAAACAGGAUUAGAUACCCUGGUAGUCCACGCCGUAAACGAUGAAUGCUAGUUGUCAGGUAGCUUGCUAUCUGGUGACGCACCUCACGCAUUAAGCAUUCCGCCUGGGGAGUACGGUCGCAAGAUUAUAACUCAGAUGAAUUGACGAGGGCCCGCGCAAGCAGUGGACCAUGUGUUUUAA
rnacentral:rRNA from 1 species